ACCAAAAUAGUAAUCGUUGAUCGUUCAUUAUCGGCAGCGAUGCGCGACGGCAGCUUGAAAAUUACAAAGCAUAAUAUUUUGUUUUUAUGAUCGAAAAGUCAUUCACUUUUCUAAGUUGUUUUCGUAGUUUAAUGACGUUUAAUGUUUAAUUUUCGUAUUUAACCAAUAGUGUUCGCCGUUAAUCAUCUACCUAUAUUAUAUUUAUUAAAUAUUUGUGCAUUAUAGUGCCAACUGCCUAUUGCAUUGUGGGAUUGCUGUCCUUCGUUUCUUAUAGUAAAAUAUGUGGUCAGUUGUAAAUUUUUCUGAUGACAAUGGAGUUGCAGUUGUGCUAUCAUUUUGGGUCAAAGAAAAUAAAUCUGCUUGGCCAAAAAAAAACGCAAAUCACUUUAUAAAACAAAGAUUAGUACCAAAUAAAUAUGAUUUUGAGUAUUUAUCAAUUAAAAAAAAAAUGUGCAAGGACUUGGAUGAUUAUUUUCAGGCUAAGGUCCGAGCAAAAAAGUCUGAAAAUACUUCUAACGUUUCAUCUUCAUCAUAUGAAACAGAUGAUGAAAUCAGAACUAGGCAUAAGAAGACAACAAAAAAAGAAUAUAAUAAAAUGGUGAAGAUUCAAAAAAAUAAAGCAAUUAAAAAUCCAGCAUGGAGUCCAGAUUCCAUUAAAAGUCUAGGGUCAUGUGGGGAAAUUUAAGAGAAUACUAAUUGUGACAAUGAGUUCAAUAAUCCAGAUAACAUACAUAUUGACACUCCACCUCUAGGAAUAAAAUUAUUAUUGAUAAAGUAUUAUCGAGCAACCAAUCAGUUAAAAGACAAUUAGAUUUUUUUGAUGAGCUAUCUUUGAGCCCAGAGUUAAUACCAGCUGCCGAAGUACUUAAUGCACAAGAUGAAGCACAAGAAUUUAUUUAUACAUCCUCGUCGCUCUUUAAAGUCUCCAGGACCAGUGCUACAAUUGAUAACUCAGCAUUAGUGAGCAGCUCUAUGAAGUCAAUGGAUGGAUGACUUUAGAAGAACGCCGAAAGAAGAAUUUUAAUUAACCGAUCAAGAUGAAGCAAAAUCGUUUUUAGGUAUUAAAAUAGAACGUACUAAAGAAACUAUGAAAAUUAGUCAAACUCAUUAUUUGCAAAAGUUAUUGAAGAAAUUUUCAAUGGAAGACUGCAAGCCGAUAUCGACACCUAUAGACACAAAAUUUAAUACAGAAAAUGGAGAGACAACCAAUAAACCUUAUCGCGAAUUAAUUGGAGUCUUAUGUAUGUAAUGAUUCAAACAAGACCAGAUUUAAGCGUUGCAGUUAAUUUAUUUAGUCGAUAUCAGUCUCAACCAACAGACAGCUUGUAUAAUUAACUAAAAAGAGUACUAUGCUAUGUGAAGGGUACUACUGAUGAUGGUCUUAUAUAUACAAAAGGUAAGGAAGUAAGCCCAUUAAGGGGAUUUGUUGAUGCAGAUUUCGCUAAUGACAUCCACGAUAGAAAAUCUACCUCUGGAUACUUAUUUAAAAUAUACGGAUCUAAAGUUUGCUGGUCAACAAGAAAGCAAUCAACAGUAGCACUUUCUUCAACAGAGGCUGAAUAUCUAUUUUCUCAUUGGCAUCGGCUAUACAAGAAGCUAUGUGGCUCAAAGGUUUACUUGUUGAAAUUAGUGUUAUAGGAAUAGAUAAACAAAUUGUUUUAUAUGAAGACAAUCAAUCCUGCAUCAAAAUUGCUGAAAAGCCAAAAAAAACACCAAUAAUUUAAACAUCUAGAUACCCAGUACAAUUUCAUUAAUGAAUCCAUUGCCAACAAUGAAAUAAAACUGGAGUAUAUUCGAUUAGAAAAUCAGCUAGGCGAUAUUCUUACUAAACCACUGCCAGCUUCAACAUUUAUGAGACUGAAGAAACCUAUUGGUGUCAAUGAAUACUAAGAUUAGUGAGAUUAGUUUUAUUAUAUUAUGAUUUAUGUAAUUAUGUUAUAUUAGUUAUAUUGUUUUAUAUGUUUAUUAUUAUUUUAUUAUUAUAUGUAUACUAGAAAUUUAUAAAUGUUAAUAGUUACAAGAUUAAGUGGGAGUGUUGUUAACUGGUAUCAUUUUACUGUUAAGAUAUAAGUGUUAUCAUUAUGUAAUCUUGUACACACCUAAGCUAAAAAAAUUGUACUUAACCAUGUUCCUUUCUUUCAUGUGGUUGUGUGUGCGUUAUAGUAACGUUUUGUACGAAUAUGGUACUUUAUUAAAAAUCUCAAUAUGAGUUGUACUGAAA